UUUGUUUGCCUUAGAAAAAUUUUUCCAAGUAAGAUAGCUCAUGAUUGAACCGGGGUACUCGGGUUCUCAAAAUUGAACCGGGGUAGCUUUUGCUUUUUGCCUUGGAAAAUCUUUCCAAGUAAGAUAGCUCAUGAUUGAACCGGGGUACUCGGGUUCUCAAAAUUGAACCGAGGUAGCUUUUGCUUUUUGCCUUGGAAAAUUUUUCCAAGUAAGAGAUAGAUCAUGAUUGAACCCGGGUAGCUUUUUGUUUGUUUGCCUUGGAGAAUAUUUUUUCAAGUAAGAUAGCUCAUGAUUGAACCGGGGUACCCGGGUUCUCAAAAUUGAACCGGGGUAGCUUUUGCUUUUUGCCUUGGAAAAUUUUUCCAAGUAAGAGAUAUGUCAUAACUGGACCGGGGUAGCUUUUUGUUUGUUUGCCUUAGAAAAUUUUUUCCAAGUAAGAUAGCUCAUGAUUGAACCGGGGUACUCGGGUUCUCAAAAUUGAACCGGGGUAGCUUUUGCUUUUUGCCUUGGAAAAUUUUUCCAAGUAAGAGAUAUAUCAUGAGUGAACCCGGGUAGCUUUUUGUUUGUUUGCCUUGGAAAAUAAUUUUUCCAAGUAAGAGAUAUGUCAUAACUGGACCGGGGUAGCUUUUUGUUUGUUUGCCUUAGAAAAAUUUUUCCAAGUAAGAUAGCUCAUGAUUGAACCGGGGUACUCGGGUUCUCAAAAUUGAACCGGGGUAGCUUUUGCUUUUUGCCUUGGAAAAUUUUUCCGAGUAAGAGAUAGAUCAUGAUUGAACCCGGGUAGCUUUUUGUUUGUUUGCCUAGGAAAAUAAUUUUUCUAAGUAAGAGAUAUGUCAUAACUGGACCGGGGUAGCUUUUUGUUUGUUUGCCUUAGAAAAUAAUUUUUCCAAGUAAGAGAUAGCUCAUGAUUGCACCCGGGUAGCUUUUGCUUUUUUGCCUUCAAAAAUUUUUCGAAAAAUUUUUCUAAGUAAGAGAUAACUGAAAAGUGAACCCGGGUAGCCUUUUGGUUGUUUGUCUUAGAAAAUUUUUUCCAAGUAUGAUUGCUUGGUCCGGACUCAUUAUUGAAUCAGGGUUAGUAUGAUUGCGUAGUCCGGACUCAUCUAAGUCAGGACUAGUAUGGUUGCUUAGAAAAACUUCUUGCUGAUUGCUUCUUGAAGACAUCUAAUAUAAGCCGAGAGUGCCUCAUUAUCAUACUCCCGUACCCGGAGUCCCUUCUAACUUUCUUCUACAGCUCAUGGAUCAUGUCCCAUAGAUUGGUCUGAUACUCGUUAUUCUCAUGGUCUUAGAUCAGCUCUUGGGUUGGCUCAUUCCUAGAUCGUUUGGAGCGGGACUUGCUCAUGAGCCUUUCUUCUUAUAACUGGAUCCUUCUUUGAAUUUUUUGCUCUAGCUUUUCUUCUUCUUCUCUCCGGAUGUGUUCUUUUUUUUUUGGCCCAGAUCUUUCGCCUUGUGGCAUCACUUUCUCUCUGCUUCUUUUACCUUACUUUGUCACCAAUCCGGUCAAAGACGGAACCCCGGGAUUGGCGGGAAUUUUCAAAGUCUUCGGAAUCAGGAAUCAACCUGGGUCCUUUGAGGUUCUCGGCUCGUUGUUCCUGGUAUAACCGGAUUGCUUCGGCCAACUCUAUGUUGGUUAGAUAUGUAACAUGGUCUGCGGUCACCGGGACAUCGAUGCACUUUAACUGGUUCAUUUCAAUUGUGACCCGGGCAUCGUCUAGGUUGAUCCGGGUCUCUUCUGGAUUGAUCCCGGUCAAGAGUGGUUUAGAGAUGAGAUCCUGAUGUGGAUUGUCCUGGUCCACCGGGUUGAACUGCUCGGAUCGGGUUGAUUGGGUUUGGGUUUUUCCACCCCUUGUCAUGAUUAUAGUGAACAACUCAAACAAGAACUACCCAGGGAGUAUGCUUGCUUUUUGGUGAAAGUGUAUGUGUGCAGUAUAGACAGUAGUGGAAUGAUAGAAAUAGUGUAAGCAGAUAGUCAACUUACUACUUCAAGAAAUGCUAGAAAUAGUUAAAUGACAAAGGUGUAAGGGACUACAGGACAAGGUGUCUUGAUGUACUACAGA
rnacentral:lncRNA from 1 species